AUCAAAUCCAGCAUCAGCACCGGGCUGCCCGAGGAUGUGCCUGAUUAUAAAUCAGCUCUACCAAAGAGACAUCAGCCAGCUGAUGGAUCAGUCUAGCACUACUUAUGAUCGCCCCAGUCGAGAUGUUUAGAUACUGAUACCGACUCAAGUCCUAUCAUUUAUAAGUAUCUGCAAAUACAAAGGCUCAAUCUGACUCUGGCAUUAUUUUGCUUUUUCUUUAUUUUUUACAGCAAAGACUUGAAAAAAUCUAAACUUUGAGUUUCGGAUCAACUGGCUUCCAGUCAGUCAUGAUGAAUACUGACUAGUACACGUGAUCUACAUUACAACACUCACUAACCAGUCAGAGUUGGACCCAGACUCGAGCCUAAUGGUUUCCUUCAUCAGAAAACACAUCAGGCCUAAGUGGUUAAAAAAAGGUUUUAAAAGUAUUUUAUUGUUUGUUUUUUAAAGAGAAAUCAGCACCAAAUUUUUACUUGGGACACACUUUCAUCUGAUUAAACUUUUUCCUUUGUUGGUUUCAGAUUAGUUGGAUUUCAUUCACAUCAAAAAUGUUUUUGUUCAAAAUAAAUAGAACAAUGUUGACAAAUUAACUAAAAUAAAUGGCUGAAAAUGAAUACAUUCUAAUAAUGACUCCAACCUGGCGGGUCAUCCUGAGUUAACCAAACUAGUUAACUCUAUGAAGACCUCUGCAUGCCCCCUCCACAUCUUACCCUCAUCUUUGUUUAAAAGUGCUUUUCAGUCCAUCGGUCCCAGCGUGCUCUCUAUAAUUAAUGCUUCUCUGGUCUCUGGUCAGGUCCCUGCUUACUUUAAGAACGCUGUAAUCCACCCGCUUCUUAAAAAACCGAGUCUCGACCCCUCUCUCCAUAGCAGCUUCAGACCCAUCUCUAAACUUCCGUUCAUCUCCAAGAUCUUGGAAAAGGUUGUGGCUAAACAACUCACAGCUGCUCUUGAUGAACAUAACAUCUAUGAUAGCUUCCAGUCAGGUUUUUGUAGAGCUCAUUCUACUGAAACAGCUCUUCUUAGGGUCUCUAAUGACCUUCUGACUCACAGUGAUGCAGGGGACUGUUCUGCUCUGGUCCUGCUGGACCUGACUGCAGCCUUUGACACUGUUGACCAUCACCUGCUACUGGAGAGGCUCAGAGACUGGGUAGGCCUACCAGGAUCUGCUCUGGAGUGGUUCUCCUCUUAUCUCUCUGAGCGCUCCUUUUCUGUGGCUGUCUCCAAGUUUAGGUCCUCCACCACCUCCCUCACCCAUGGUGUCCCACAAGGUUCUGUGCUGGGGCCUCUGCUCUUCCUCCUUUAUCUGUUUCCUCUUCAGCACGUCCUGAGCUCCUUCAAAGGAAUCUCCUACCAUCUUUAUGCAGAUGACAUCCAACUGUACAUCUCCUUUAAACCCCAUGAGAUGUCUAAGCUGCAGCUGUUACACACCUGCUUAGACUCUAUCAAAACCUGGAUGGUGGGAGCUUUCUUCAGCUGACUGAAGAUAAGACUGAGAUCCUCAUCUGUGCCCCAGACAAGCUGGUUCCCAAAGUCAGAGACUCUCUUGGUCAGCUUGCUUCCCACACCAAACCUUGUCAGGAAUCUUGGCGUGACCUUUGACCCAGCUCUCACCCUGGAUUCUCAUGUCAGUUCUGUUGUUCGCUCUUCCUUCUUCCAUCUCAGGAACGUUGCUAAGCUGAGUCCCAUUCUGUCCCGCUCUGAACUUGAGACAGUUCUCCACACCUUCAUCUCCUCACGCUUAGACUACUGUAACUCUCUUUUCACGUGUCUGAGCAGAACCUCCCUGAACCGUCUACAGGUGGUUCAGAACACCUGUGCUCGGCUUCUGACCAAGUCCUCCAAACACACCCACAUCACCCCGCUUCUCCUCCAGCUUCACUGGCUGCCAGUCAACUUCAGGGUUCAUUUCAAGAUCCUGGUUCUGGUCUAUAGGGCCUUACAUGGACAAGCACCAUCUUACAUUGGUGAUCUUCUCAGGCCCUACACCCCCAGCAGGUCCCUGAGGUCCAGUGAUCAAAGCCUACUGGUUGUGCAGCACCAGGCUAAAGACCAAAGGUGACAGAUCAUCUGCUGCUGUGGCCCCCAGACUCUGGACCUCUCUCCCCCUGAGCCUGAGAUCAGUGGACUCAGUGGUCUCCUUUAAAAAGCAUCUAAAACUUAGGUUUAAGCUGGCUUUGAUGUGCCCUUCAUCGCCAUCCUCUCCUUAUUAUGCUCUUGUUCCACCUUUCCCUGCGAUCCACUGAUUUCCCGCCUUCCUAUUAUUUUUCUCUCUCCCUUUCCUUACAUAUUUAUUUAUCACAAUUUUUUUCUCUCAUUUUUAACUUAUUUUUAAUUGUUUUAAGAAAUCUUUUUACUUAAUUAUUUUUUCUGUGAUUUUUAUCUUGAGAGGCGCUAAAUAAAAGAUAGUUUUCUUUCUUUUUUUGUAAAAUAUCAGCAUAAUUUCUCUGAAUGAUAAAAACAGGUUGUAGUGCAACAAGCCACUGUCCUUGUAUGACACUACAGGAUCUCAAAGAGGUGUUUGGCUGAAUCCAAUCACAUUUUCAUUUUAUUCCUGAUAUUUAAAUUUCUCUAACUGUGGAGCAGGGUCCCCUCUCUGUUGCUGGGAGCUGUCAGUCAACUAUGCAUGGCAAUGAGGAGAAUUCCCCAGAAGGUUAAGAAUUUAAAAUGGCAUGUCUUUAGUUAAAUCAAUUUCAACCUUAGUUUACGUUUAUUUCAAAAAUGAAACAUUAAAGAAAAAAAAACAAUGAUCAAAAUAUGCAAGUAGAAUAAAAAAGGAGAAACUUUGAAUUAAAUAAUGAAUUUACAUAUCUGAAAAUGAGUGGGAGGAAGUUGUAACCCACCUCUUCCAUUUAAUUUAAUAUAAUUUUCUAAUUUGGCUUCCAAUCUUUACCAUAACUAAGUAAUAUUGAUGUAAACAUUACUCGUCACGUGUCAUACAAACACAACCAAAGAGUGCUCCACAAUAGCAGCUGACCUGUCCAACAAACGGUGAACAUUGUUGAUCUUUAAAAUAUUAAAUCUAAUGAAAAUCGAUUUAAAAUCUGUCUCAUCUUUUAUUUUUAGCUAGUGGCUCAUUAUCCUAAAUGUGUCGGAGCACCACAGCCAAUAACAAUAGCUAUAUAAUAUGUUGUUGUUUAAUAUGACUUGUCAGUGUUGCAGCAGAAGUUUCAUCUGAGCAGAAGUAGCGAUAGCAGCUGUGUUUCUAUACAAAUCUUCACACGUUGUUGGGUGUUUUAGCUCAGGCUAUCCAGAACCUUACGCCAGCCCGUGCAUAAACAACUCUCUUCCUUUGCAGACUGAACAUGUUGCAUGCUAGCCUAGUGAACUAGACCAAAUUCUUGCUUUGCAAAGUUUGGUCUAGGAACGCUCCACUGGAACCUCUGCAGCCCCCAACAGCACUCUGGCUGGCCAAUCACAGCUCUCUAGAGGGGUUUCAAACACAUAAAGAGCUGUGAUUGGUCCAUAAUGGUGGGCCAAUCAUAGUGCUCUAUCUGCUUAGUGAACAAAUCACAGAGCUUUAUCUGCUUUGUGGGCCAAUCAGGGCACUCCACAUGCCUGGUGGGUGGGAUUAUGCAAUAGAGUGAAACAAGAGUAUGUCACAUUCACCCGCCCCACAACCGAGAACCGUCAAUGGAGCGUUGCCAGACUAAAUAAUACAUUUAUUUAGUCUGGCUUGCCAGGCUAGUUACAUGCUCCAUCAGCUGAUGCGGCCAACAGGUUUCCCCUCCUGCUAGCUGCCUCACCUUCAUCUGACUGGAGUCCCAACUGCUCUGAUUUACAGCCGAUACGAGUUUCUACGUCAGCACGGAGCCUUUUUUGUUGUUUGGACAUCUUAACGUGUCGCUGCGGUGUUGCCUACUUUUAACUGAUCACUUACGUCAGAUAAGGAUGCUCGUCUUCCUGACAAACAGGAACGCAGACAAGCCACCUGUUGAGUGUGAACAGCCGGUCUCGGAGUGAGACAUGUGGCUGCUGUUGGACCAACCAGAACCCAACGUGUUCCCGUGUCCUGCUAACGUCCCGACACAAGAGACACGGAGACACAUUCUUCACUCACACCAUAAAAGAGCUGUUUUAUUCUUCUGGGCCCGGCCGGCUAGAGUCACCUGAAAGGAAUGUGUGUGAAUAAUUAAACCAGGGGAGGAUGGUGUCUUUCUAUUGAUGGAUGAGUUACACACACUUCCUCAAACUCCACAACCAACUAAUCACAUUCAGCCUCAAAACAACACAUGUAAGCUUCAGAUGAUCAAACAAAGUGAAAAAACACAGCUCCACUGUGGAUGUCAUCGUCACAGCAAACACUGGAGGAUGUUUUUCAUCAUACGUUGUCAUGACUCGAGGUAAGUGCCUAACCCAAGACAUGCAGAAUCAGACUCGUCGGGUAGGUUGAGUAAAAGAAAAAGUCUUUAUUCAAAACGGGAACAAAAAUAGCACAGGGAAGUCCUGUGGGAGUGAGCGGUGCAGCUCAAAUCCGUGUAGCGCUCAGGGUGAACGAGGGAGGAGGGGAAGCCGAGGUGAGCGCUGGGCAGAGGGUGAGCGAUCCGGGAUGGGUGAGGUAGCAGACAGGGACCAAACAGGAACAACGGAGGAUGGGACGUGGUGUGCGAAAUCCAGAGUACGAAGACAGCGAGGGUGAAGCAGGUUGUGUGAGGAUCCUGAGGGAAGGGAAACAAACACCAGACGUAAGGGGUAAUCCAAAACGUAAUCCACAAAUACAGUCUGAGGUCAAAAUCCACGUAUCCAAAAACGAGUCAAAGCGAGCAAACGAGUACAAGAACAAGUGGCUGGGGCUACCCAAACUGGUGCAAUCAUCCGGCGUAGUGAGGUGUCUCCAUCCUCCGUUUAAACCCGAGUUCCUCCGCUCCUCACCUGUGGGAAAUCAGCUCAAUCCCAGUUAGAGUGGAGAUGGUGUCACUCACCUCGGCUCGGGAACUUGACAUAAACUUCAACAAUCUGAGUGAGAGCAAUAUUAAAUCUAGACUCUGCCUAAAACAUUCACUGUCCCACUUUGGCUCACGCAGGAUUUAAAGAGCAAGUCACCCCCUACCAGAGUCUAACUCCACUCCCGCUUCAUGUUUGAAAAAUGCAACACAUGCUGUUGCCUGGCAGACCGAGAGGGCGGAGCCGCUAACAAAUACACACACUCAGGCUCACGACAGCAUUGUGACAUCAUAAUGUACCAGUUUACAUCAUAGCAUACUUCUUAGCCAAUAGCGGUGGCAGAUUUAAAUUAGAAUACAGUGCAGAGUUUUUACCUGACAACGGCACAACACUGCCAGUUUUAGGCAGAAUAUUUAAAUUUUAACUAAGAUGCACUGAAGUGCUAAAUUAUUGACGACACGUGUCUGCAGCACGAUUAGACACUCGUUUAUUUCGUUUAUCAGCAAAAAAAAGUUUAUUUGGGGGUGACUUGCUCUUUAAAUCAGCUCUUUUCGGACUUCCCGUAGCAAUGUUCCCGUUUUUGUUUUUAUUUAACUCCACAUUUCUCCUAAACGGUGCUACAAUGUUGUAAGCAUGUUUGCAUCUUGAAGCCAUGACCCAUCUUCAGUGUUAACCGUGGUGUGCAGCAGAGUGUGAAGAAGCCAGGUUGAAAGUCUUCUCCCCAGGCAGAGGAGGGUCUUCCUCACCAGUGAUGGGAGGACUGAUCAAGAAAUAGGCCGAUGGGUCAAGGCUCCGUCUGCAAGAUGAGGCCGUUGUUCCUGUCUGACGUGGUGGAGGCGGAGCCGAGCGGAAAGAUGAAGCUGGAUCAGGACUAAACAAACCACGACCUGUCCAGCCUUAGAGAUAAAAUGAGGAUUUCCAUCAUCUAGGAGGAGCUCAGAGUAGAGCUGCUGCCCCACAUUCAAAGGUGUCAGGUGAGCUGGGUUGGUCAUUUGAGGGAGUUUUGCUUCAUGCUGAUGUUUCCCACCUGGAAAAGGCACCAAGGGAGACCCAGAACUAGAUGGAAGGAUUAAAUGUCCCAUCAGAAGGAACUGAUGUCACCUAUUGAUCAGUUACCUCCACACCUUGGACAAGCAGAAGAAAAUGGAUUCCCCAGACAAAUAACUGGGUACAUAAGAUCUUCUCAAGUUCCACUGCUGGGUGGGAAAGUAAAACCAGGAUUCAGUUAACAGUUGUCUCCCAAAUCCAAAUGUCUCCAGAACAGAAAUAGACGAUCCUGUUCCACUCCUCACCAUCUCUCAGUGUCGAGCAAAAAUAGCCUCAGGUAGAGCAGAAGUGGAGAGGUUACAACCCACAGAGGAAGUCAAUCUGCUGCUCCCACAAUGUGGUUUCACAUACUUGCGACUAGAUACCAUAACUUAAAGAAACAAUACCAGAGUGCCUGUUUGGCUAAAAUAAUAAUAAUUUUAGAGGAAGCAGAAGAAAUAAAUCUGCAUGACUGCAGUUCCUCUAAUCGUAAAGACCAAACAGCAGGAAAGGUUGGAUGGCCGUGUUGUGUGGUGGGGUGAGUACUCCUCCAUCUCUAUAACAUCUUUGAGUUCUUCAUUUCAGGAGAGGGAGCUCACCAGCUGCGGGGCAUUAGUAAUCAGCGGCAGCUGCAGCUCCUCAGGUCAUCCGCAGCAGAGCUCUAUUUAAGAGGAGAGGGAACUACUACACUUCGCUGGAUGAUUAGCUACUCACGGUAGUAUCUGGCCUCUCGUUCUAGGAUAAUGCUUGGGUUCUACUCUGAUAAUUUGCUGAUUCCUGGACAACCGUCCCUGACGCUCUGGGUUUGUUGGAUCUGAUCCUCUAUCCGAGAAGCAGAACCAGUACUGGAUUACUCACCUGGAAAGAACCAUUACCUACCUGGACUUCACAGUUCGCCUCUCCUCUUAUCCUCUGCCACCCCGCCUGGCUCCCUCUCCUGGACUCACUCCUUCACCCCACCUGUCCUCCUCGACCUCCUCCACCUGCAGAACUUUGGACUCUCUCUGGCUCCAGCUAAUCUGGGACUAUUCCAGGGACACUUUGUUAGAUUCCUGCAAUAAAUCAUUGUUUUGAACUUUC